rnacentral:rRNA from 1 species
UACGUAGGUGACCAGCGUUGUCCGGAUUUACUGGGCGUAAAGAGCGCGCAGGCGGUCGUUCAAGUCGAGUGUGAAAGUCCCCGGCUCAACUGGGGAGGGUCAUUCGAUACUGAUCGACUUGAAGGCAGGAGAGGGAAGUGGAAUUCCCGGUGUAGUGGUGAAAUGCGUAGAUAUCGGGAGGAACACCAGUGGCGAAGGCGACUUCCUGGCCUGUUCUUGACGCUGAGGCGCGAAAGCUAGGGGAGCAAACGGG